rnacentral:rRNA from 1 species
GUGUCAGCAGCCGCGGUAAUACGGAAGGGGCAAGCGUUGUUCGGAAUCAUUGGGCGUAAAGGGCGCGUAGGUGGUUUUGUAUGUCUACCGUGAAAGCGCGCGGCUUAACCGCGUUCCGUCGGUAGAAACUGCAGGACUUGAGACUGGGAGGGGCUGGUGGAAUUCCCUGUGUAGCGGUGAAAUGCGUAGAGAUGGGGGAGAACACUCGUGGCGAAGGCGGCCAGCUAGACCAGUUCUGACACUGAGGCGCGACAGCGUGGGGAGCAAACAGGAUUAGAUACCCUGGUAGUCCACGCUGUAAACGAUGGGCACUAGGUGCCGGCGGUCUUGAUCCCGUCGGUGCCGGCGCUAACGCAGUAAGUGCCCCGCCUGGGGAGUACGGUCGCAAGGCUGAA